rnacentral:lncRNA from 1 species
ACAUUUCUGCUCAUGCUCCUUAUACUCUACCCUUACCAUGAGAAGAUAUGCCUGGGCUAGCCCCUCUGAUCCCAGAAGGGGGAAGGUAGAUACAAGGUCAACCCACAGGUGCAUGAGUGAGCCCAGCUGAGUGCAGUCUUAGAGAUCAACUAAACCCUACAGGUAAGUGAGAUAUAACUGUUUAUUGAUUAUUGAGUCUGAGUUUUAGAAUGGUAUUCAAUGAGCAUUAUUGUAGCAACAUAUAACUGAUACAUGAAUGGGUUGUGGAUUGAGAGGUAAGGUGAACCAAUAUUUUGCUUCCUAUGAUAAGAAUAUAAACACUAGAGAGACACUCUCCUUAACCUGGUCUGAGGACAGCCAAAACUAUACAAAACAACUUCAAAGCCACAUCACAAAAGAAUUCCAAGGGACUUCAUCUUUCUUAAAGUCCCCCAGAAAGUUCACUUUGCAAAUCUUCGACACAGAGUUUGUUUCUCUGGGGAGUCAAUAUAAGACAGUUGGCAUGAAGAAUUGUUUAAGGAAGAAAACCAUAAAACAAGAUGUUGGAGGUGGAGCACUGGGGAGAGAACACAUGCUGUAGCAGUGCAGUUGCUGAAAAACACGGAUGAGAGAGCAGUGAAAGACGACUCAGGUAUUCUAAGUGAAGGAAGAACCUUUGUAAAGAGGGAGUGAACCAAAAAGACUUGACAGCUAUUGAGAAUUCCAAUUGUGUGGGAGCUAAGGAGAGGGCACUGGUUAGGGCAAUGUCCUCCCUGGUUUUGCGUUAGAGGCAGUUUGAGUAGCAGAGGGGCAUAGAAGGCAGAUUAGGCAGUGACAGGGAGGUAUGGAAGCGGUGUGUGUGGUUUGCUGCACUUAGACAAAGCUUGUGGGGGAAGGUAGAAAAGCAAUGGGCUGGAAUGGGUGGCAAGGACACUUUGGGGAUUUGAAGACCCGCCUGAGUUUGUAUGCAGAUUGAGGGGAAGAUAUAAGAGGAAAGAAUGGAACUGAAAACAUAAAAGACAAAAGGAAAUAGUUGACAAAGCAAAAUUCAGGCAACCAGGAAAGAACGGGAUCAAAUGUAUGUAGACAGAUUAAACUUGGUUAAGAAUAUACUUUUCUUUGAAUGGACAGAAAGGAGGAACAUAUUGAUAAAUGGUAGAGGGAGAUUUUGAAGGGUGCUGAAGACCUGAGAGAGUAUUCUCACUCAAUAGCUUUUGUUUUCUCUGUAAAAUAUGAUGUGAGAAGGAUGGUGAUCAUUCAGCAAUUCCUACUGGGGAAAAGGACAGACGACAACGUGGAGUGAGAGCGGGGUCAGAUGACUCUAUCAAUC